CUGGCGAUGGAACUUCAUCAAUGGACGUCACCGAUGGGGUACCACCUUUCUCUUUAUGAUGCGCUGAGUCCGAGUGUAGUUCGGGUUCCACCAUGCAGGUCCACGAUACCCGUAAUUGUCACUCUGGUCGAUACUGGUUGUCGAAGACAUCCUUCAAGUAGACAUCCGAUCAGAACCAUAAUAGAAGUAUAGAUAUAGUGGGUGGUUUUGAAAUCGUUCAUAACUUUCAGAAAAAUCACAACUUUCAGAAAAAUCAAAACUUUUCACACACUCUUUUCUUUUAGUUAAAACAAUUCUCUCUUUUUUUUUUUUUUUUUUUUUUUUUUUUUAAACGUCGGAAAUGCCGAUCCCUUAGGACAGAACUAAGGGAUCUUAACCCGCUCUGAUACCAAUUGUAACAGCCCGAUCCCCCGGCGUCCGACCGGGGUUAUCGAAGGGGCGUUAUGGACACGUGUCUACUCAUUUAGACAACCCUACGUAUCCCGUUACUGGUCCCGAGAGACGAG
rnacentral:lncRNA from 1 species